rnacentral:lncRNA from 1 species
GUUAUUUACAAAAUUCGUGGACUUUUUCAUUUGAUAAAGAAAAUAAAAAGUAUUAUGAACAGUUCAUGAACAAUAUAAUAUCCCUCGAAACUUUUAAUAAAAUAGAAAAAUUUUAUAAGUAUAACUAAAAAAAAAAAAAAAAAAAAAAUAGAUAAAUAGAUAAACAAGCUACUAAACAAAUGCAUAAGAAUGACUAAAAACGUGACUACACGAAUGACUAAAUAAAAUUAUACAUUUAACACUUUCCUUGCUUCCACUUUUUAUUUAGGAACUAUAAAUAUAUGAAAUCACCAUCUUCUAUAAAAGAGUAUUAUAAUAUUUAUCUUUUUAAGUAUAAUUUAAAACCGUUUUACGAAGAAUUUCCAAACGGAUUUGUUUGUAUUAUAAAAGACCCAAACAAUUUCAAAAACAACCUUGUUGAUUUAAUAUGGGAAAAAAUGGUUUUAUUGGCUAUUGGGGAAAAGUUCAAUUUAGUUGACCUUUGUGGCAUACAAUUAUGUAUUAGAGAAAACGAAAUAUUUUUUAAAAUUUGGAUGAAUAAUUAUUCUAAUUACUUAAAAAACAUUUUAUUAAAAAGACUGAACGAGUUAUUAGAUUUACCCAUAAAAGCCUCCAUAAUUAUUAAAAUACUAUCGUAUAAACAUCACAACAGAAAAAGUUUAAGCAUAAAAGAUAAAAAUGAAAAGGGGAAAAAAAUAUAUAAUAAAAAUAAAUCUAUUGAAUAUUCUCAAAAAAAUAAUUUUUUUAAAAGUAAGCCCUGUGGAAAUGUCAUAAACAACUCUCCACAAUACAAUAUAGGUAUGUAAAUAUAUUUUUGUUUAUGUUAAUAUGAUAUAUAUUAUAUAUACAUAUUUUUAUUUACAAUCACCUUCUUCCAUUUAAGUUCUUUUAUACUAUUUUUUCUAUUUUUGCUUUACUUGUUUUAUUUUAUUUCCCCACUCAAACACACUUUAAUAUAUUUUUAUAGGAAACUACAAAUUUUAUAAAAACAAUAUAGACAUGAAUAUGUUUUACCUAUAUAACAAUCAAAAUAUACAAAACAACCCCUACUUAUGCUAUCCAUUAAAUAUCUAUAAUCACCAGUACAAUAAUAAUUACUUAGAAUAUAUCUACGAUUACAACUUAUCUUACCAAAUAGAAAACCCUAAUAAUUUUUUAAAUCAUAACAAUAUUUAUAUGGAUAAUAAAUACGAAAAUAAUCAAUCA